GGGUCUUUAGCUCAGAAGUAGAGCGGCAGACUUUGGUUCUGUAGGUCGCGGGUUCGAUCCCCGUAGGACUCU
rnacentral:tRNA from 1 species